CCAGCAUGUGGGCUUGGAGAAGAAAGAAGGAAAAGCUUGUUAGUAAGAGAAACAAAAGCUUCAACAAAGCAAGCAACUAGUAGAAGAAAAACCCACAAAGAGACUCCUUAGUUCCUGGUCACACGCAACUGGUGUAUAUUUUACCUCUGAGAAUGUGCCGGGAGUCUUCCAGAUCAUCCAGAUCAUCCCCAGAGGGAUGCACACCAUGGACGACAUGGCCAUGAACCAGCCGAUACCGUAGCCCCAGUCAGGGCCCUCAUGUGUGAUGGCGAUGAUGGUUGACAACGAUGAUGAUGACAAUGAAGAUGAUGGCGAAAUGUCUCCAUGGAAUUAAUUGAAGACAUAUGUUUUCAGACCCUGAAUCGGCCUGCUGACUGCCAAGGGGACAUCGAGUGCUGUGACGCAGACAAAGCAGAGACAGUGCGAUAUCACGAGUAUCAACACAUUUGCAUUUCAUUAAUAGUCAUGUGUUGUGUCUAACUGGGGCAGUCGAGAUUACCUCCUUCCCUCAGCGACAGCUUCAGUGAUGUAACCAGGGACCUCCCAAAUAAAUAGAGGAAGCACGUGGGCUGGACUU